GCUGGGUGGGGGUGGGACGUGGGCAGAGCCGCAGGCACAAGUGGGUGUCAUUCCUGCAGAACCAGCACUGGAGAAGGGCUGCCUUUGGUUUCGGGAGCUACUCCCAGAUGGCCUCGAGCAGGAAAAUGUGCCGCAGCUCCUGAAAAAUCUGGUCCCUGGGGCGUGGGACACACGCAAAGCUGGGUUAAGGAAGGCAUAAACAAGCAUGGAGGAUAUAGCCAGCAUUCACAGAAGGGCAGCC
rnacentral:lncRNA from 1 species